GCCGGGGUAGCCGAGCUGGCACAGGCGGCGCACUCAAAAUGCGUUGGGGCAACCCCCCGUGCGGGUUCGAAUCCCGCCCCCGGCACCA
rnacentral:tRNA from 2 species